rnacentral:lncRNA from 1 species
GGAAGUUGCAGUGAGCCAAAAUCGCAGCAUUAGACUCCAGCCUGGGCAACAAGAGUGAAAAUUCAUCUCAAAAUAAAUAAAUAAAUAAAGUCCAUGUAAGAGGAGAUUGAGAGGGUAGAAAGUUCACCAGGGAGGAGUAUUUCAAGUAGAAGAAACAGAAGAAGCUGAGAGCUUUGGGACAUUGACAGACAGCGUGGUUGGUGUGGUCCAGGAGAGCUGGAACCUACCUGGUCUUGAUCUGCCCUAACAAGUGGAGCCUGACAACACCUGUGCAUCACCAAAGAAAGGUGCCAAGCCCUGGUCACCCAGAGGGCCUCUCCCACUAGGUUCUACAGAGAAGCUCACAGAAGACAUGGGAUGUUGGUCCUACUGAAAAAGCAGGCAAGCUGGGGGAAUACAAUCAUGUCAGGAAUGCAGGCACAGACAUCAUCUUCUCUCAUCACUGUCCACGGUCCGCACACCAAGACCUAUCACUUUAGACACAAACCUUCCCAGGACCAGGACAAGAGAGAUGAACUCUAAGGAUGAAGCUGCCGCAUAACUCUGUGAUUAACACACACUGACUCUGGACGUCAGGGGAGAUUAAAGGAGGGAUCAGAUGCUUUUGAAGAGAAGGUGGCCAUCUGGAAGGUGCAGGUGCAAGGUGGUGGAGGCUGAAAGGUGGCAGAUGGCUUGGUUCUGUGAAGGCAAAUUAGGGAACACAGAAGACGACAGAUGGGCAGGUGUUGGGUCAUUGUGAAAGGGAUUUGCCCAAGUGAAACAAAGAUUUUUUUUUCUAUUUAAAUUUGGGUCAAGCACAAGGAUUUCAUCACUAUUUAUUAACUGGCUUUCAAACUUUGCCUACGAACAAAGUGGAAAUCUCUUUAUUGCAGAUUAAUUUGGGAAACAACUCAAGCAAUAAAAAGGAGAGGAGAGGCAAGGUUGACCUACCAUACCUUAUUUGCAAUUCUAAAAGGUAAAACAGUUCUGAAAAUUAAAUUAAAAAAAAACGGAUUUGACAGCAUAACCUGACUUCAACUGACCUCUUUGUCAUCUUUAUUCCAUGUAGUGUGAACAUUUGAUGCAGAAAUGUUGAUGCGUUUGACUAUUGAGUACUGCCCAGACCCCACUAGGGUUUUACGUAAUAUGGGUAAUAUGCUCUAUAUUAUCUUUCUAAAGUCCAAAAAGUUCAAGAUUUUGAAACACACCUGGUCCCCAGGGUUUGUUCACAGAUCCCACUUACCUCCAAGACAAGUGAGAAUGUAUGCUCAGCAGGCUGCCCGGUGCUGGCCUCAGCAUGGGAUGCUCAGGUGUGAGCAAGUGGAAAGGGCUUUGAAGAAAGGAUACAGCUCUUUGUAUGGGUACAUUUGCCAGGGAGGGGAGCAGUGUGUAAAUGCUCCACUAGACUGGGGGAUGUGAAAUUGACAAAGAGGGAGAGAAGCCCUUAGGAAAGGCAUCCUCCUGAGUGAAAUGGUAAUUCACUUUGAGAUGGUGCUAAUAAUUAAAACAUUUUUUAUGGCAUUUUAAGAAACAUCUAUUAGGCCCACAUGUGAAGCUACUCACAACUCCUUGUAACAUACAUUUCAGAAAUGUUGCUGUCCCUUGAUCUGCCUUUCUUAUCUUCAUCAGGUGGGUCCCCCAUCCCUAGCCCUGCUUAUGGCCUCCUCAGGAGGGCCAGCGAGGACGAUGGCUGAGGUGGGAGGGCAGGGAGCCAGGAGGAUCACUAUAAAUAGAGUCCACCUUCUCCAUUCUUCUCACUGAGCCACUUCUGAGCUUUCCAAAACAACUGCAGCAGCAGCAGCUGCCGCUUCAGCAGCCACAGAAGUGUUGGUGUCACCAGGACACAGCCUCAGGUAAGAGAAGGGGCAUGGCUGCAGAGGGGCAAAGUCUGAGGGGCUGUGUUGGUGCUGAGCUUCAGGGCAGCCUUAUGAGAAAUACCUACAGAGGUCUCAUAAUAAAAGAGAAAAUGUAACAAUUUCUUGGAAAUUUUUUUUUAAAAAACAGAGCUUCAUUCUAAAAGGAAAUGUCUCACAUGGAUCUUAUGCAGAGAAGCCUGAGCGACUUGCACUUUCAACAAUGGUUUUGUCAUAGAUGUAAAGGUAAUUUUUUUGAUGAUUUUUUUGUUAAUAGAAGAGCUUAAUAGAAGACCUUAAAUGAGGUUCUGGACCAGUGAUGCUGAGAGGGCCACCAUUUCUACACACUCUCUAUGACAGAGGAUGCAGGAGCAGAACAUGCUAGGGUCUCCUCCUACACAGGGCUCAUGGAGAGAUGCUGAUGAGGACAGACUUCUAGGUAGGAGAGGAUAAGGUUCUGGGUGGGGAACCUGGAGCCCUCAGGGAACCGGGACAAAUGGGAGGAGUCUCCAUAGCCACCUUCUGUCUGAUUGCAUCAAAGGAAGACUGCUACCGAGUGAUGGAUGAGCUGGGGUAGGAAGUAGAGCUCUUCAUCACUGGAGGUGUUUAAGCAGAGGCUGGUAACUCCUUGACAGAUACACUGAAGAAAGGUUUCAUGAAUCAGCUGGGGGAUUAAAAUAUUACAUUGGUGCAAAGUUAUUUUCAUCAGGAAAGACAGGAGGGAGUGUUUCCAAAUCUCAGGGUGGAGGUCGGCAACAAAUUACUACUGUCUUUGCAGCCACUGAU